rnacentral:lncRNA from 1 species
CACGCCCGAGCCCGCCUGCCGGCCGCCGCCGCGGAGCCACCGCAAUCAGCGCAGGAGGCGGCCACCUCUUCGAGGGAGGGGUCUCGCCUGAGACUCCCCUUGGUCCCCGCCAUGGGGACCAUGGCACGACUGGAGGCGCCCCAGUGCCCCGGGUUCCUGGCCCGCCUCCUCGGUGGCACCUGGUGCCUGCUCUGUAUCGCCGGACAGGUAUGCGGAGACCAAAGCCAAGGGGCUGUUUUCCUGCGGGAAUUUACACUGAUUCGAAGAGAGAGCCUCCAUGAAGAUUUCCUGUCUGACCUCUUGAAUAGUCACAAAACUGAAGACUCGGCAACAAUUUUUCUACUUAAAGAAGGACUAUCAGCCAUGAAUAGAUCUAAGCUGAAGUGGAAAAAAAAGUGAUCUGAAUAUGUAAAGUCAC